GUUUGAUCCUGGCUCAGGAUGAACGCUGGCGGCGUGCUUAACACAUGCAAGUCGAACGAGCCUUCGGGCUAGUGGCGGACGGGUGAGUAACGCGUGAGAAUCUGCCCUCAGGAGGGGGAUAACGGCUGGAAACGGCCGCUAAUACCCCAUAUGCCGCGAGGUGAAAUGAGAAAUCGCCUGAGGAUGAGCUCGCGUCUGAUUAGCUAGUUGGUGGGGUAAGAGCCUACCAAGGCAUCGAUCAGUAGCUGGUCUGAGAGGAUGAUCAGCCACACUGGGACUGAGACACGGCCCAGACUCCUACGGGAGGCAGCAGUGGGGAAUUUUCCGCAAUGGGCGCAAGCCUGACGGAGCAACGCCGCGUGAGGGAUGAAGGCCUCUGGGCUGUAAACCUCUUUUCUCAAGGAAGAAGAACUGACGGUACUUGAGGAAUAAGCCACGGCUAAUUCCGUGCCAGCAGCCGCGGUAAUACGGGAGUGGCAAGCGUUAUCCGGAAUUAUUGGGCGUAAAGCGUCCGCAGGCGGUCUUGAAAGUCUGUUGUUAAAGCGUGGAGCUCAACUCCAUUUCAGCAAUGGAAACUAGAAGACUAGAGUGUGGUAGGGGCAGAGGGAAUUCCCGGUGUAGCGGUGAAAUGCGUAGAUAUCGGGAAGAACACCAGUGGCGAAGGCGCUCUGCUGGGCCAUAACUGACGCUCAUGGACGAAAGCCAGGGGAGCGAAAGGGAUUAGAUACCCCUGUAGUCCUGGCCGUAAACGAUGAACACUAGGUGUCGGGGGAAUCGACCCCCUCGGUGUCGUAGCCAACGCGUUAAGUGUUCCGCCUGGGGAGUACGCACGCAAGUGUGAAACUCAAAGGAAUUGACGGGGGCCCGCACAAGCGGUGGAGUAUGUGGUUUAAUUCGAUUCAACGCGAAGAACCUUACCAGGGUUUGACAUCCUGCGAAUCUUUUGGAAACAGAAGAGUGCCUUCGGGAGCGCAGAGACAGGUGGUGCAUGGCUGUCGUCAGCUCGUGUCGUGAGAUGUUGGGUUAAGUCCCGCAACGAGCGCAACCCACGUCUUUAGUUGCCAGCAUUGAGUUGGGCACUCUAGAGAGACCGCCGGUGAUAAACCGGAGGAAGGUGUGGAUGACGUCAAGUCAUCAUGCCCCUUACAUCCUGGGCUACACACGUACUACAAUGCUACGGACAGAGGGCAGCAAACUCGCGAGAGCUAGCAAAUCCCAUAAACCGUGGCUCAGUUCAGAUCGUAGGCUGCAACUCGCCUACGUGAAGGAGGAAUCGCUAGU
rnacentral:rRNA from 1 species